UUGAGGAUAAUUCCAGGAGAGGAACUCACUGAGAGUCCCUCAGCUCUGAGAAGGAUGUGGACAGCAUAGAACAGCCUCUUUUACAGUCUUCUUUCUCUGUCUCUCUAGAACCUAACCAGGGAGUUAUUCUUGUCAUCCUCCGAGGCCAAAUAACCCAUAGCCUGGAGUUUGUUUACAGAAGAGUGUUCCUCAAGUCUCACUUGCUGACUGUAGUUUAGGAGGAUGAGCAUGUGCAGAACAAUGUGGAUUAUAUCAUUAAGCAAAUUAUCAGUCCCGCAGUGGCCAACUUUCAUCCAGGAGCCAUCUGUGAGAAAAUGUAAUGGUCCCUCUGCUCUACUCCUCCACCUCAGAAGCUCUUCCUGCCUGUCAGUAGACUAGAGAUAGAGCCAUAGUCUGCUGAAUUGGAGCAGCCUUUAGAAGGUGAGCUGCCUUGGCCUACAGUGAAAAUCACACCCACACAGCCUUCCUAAAGUCUUCUGUUGCAGCCUCUGAUGUCUAUGGGCCAGUGUGAGUUGAUAUGCAAAAUCCUCUCACCAUGGUGCUUUCCCCUUGAACAUACAAAGCCAUUUUACCAUCAGAAGGUCUUUGCGCUGGACUUUGAGUUGGUCACAUGAUUGCCAUCUUCAGAUUAUUCAGGUCUCACCUCCGGAACCAUCAAAAUCCUAGAGAACACAGGCAACAACUCUGUGACAUUGGCCAGAGCAACUUCUUUCUAGAUAUGUCUCCUGAGGCAGGGAAACAAAAGCAAAAAUAAACUUUGAGAUUUCAUCA
rnacentral:lncRNA from 12 species